rnacentral:lncRNA from 1 species
CGUCAAGAUGGCGCUGUGAGCAGACGUUGAACUCGCCUCCUCCCAUGAACACAACCAGGUUACAACAAUUUUAGGAAGAAUCACGCUGGAUUGAAAACUGAAAACUGGAUAAAAAGAACCCCCACAACAAGGGACAGUCCUGACGAAAGCAGAAGAGGCAGCAACUCCGGCAGGAGAGGAAAAAAGCCACCUUUGGGAGCAGCGGAGCUUCUCAGCUGGCCAGGCGGGAGCCACUCUAAGGUACGAGCCCUCCCUGGAGGAGUGAGGUCCGGAGCCAGGGCAAUACUGCUAUAACCUUCCUUCGGACUCAGCCCAACUGAGAGGGAGGUCUUACUGUCUGGCUUUGCUGGCUAUUAACUGCAGCGAGGACACCCCAGAAAAGCUAUCAGCCAAAAGCCGAAAAGAUCCGGGUCUUAAAGGGCCCACGCACAAACUCACUCAUUGCAGCAACCUAAAAUCACCAGAGAGAAGGCUGACUGUCCUUUGGUGAAACGAGACUCACCUGGUGGGCUCUGGGGGCAUCUUGGUGAGAGGAGGAUCCUCUCCAGAGACUGAGACAUUGGUGGGGGCUGUUGUUCUGAGCUGGUCCAGGCAUGCUAAUACGGACACAGGUGGGGGCCAUUGAGGUGCAUCCCUUGGGCUGUUAGCCCAGGGGUCUGCCACACCCACUACAGCACAGAUUUAAUCCAGCUCAGCCAGGGCAGGCAACCUGCCCUAGGGAUUGGCCCCACCUAACAGCAAGCCCUCAGGCUACUUUUCAGCCUGCAUUGACUGAAUGCCUUGAUCCUCUACAGGCAGGUAAAGGUGUCUGCCUCUGUGGGGCAGGGCUUGUGUGAGGACCUGGUGAACUGUGGGGGGCAUUGGGGAAGAGGUGGGAGCCUCUGCAGUGUGGCAGUGUGGUACGCUCCAGGGGGAUGAGAAGUGUGCAUGGACCAGGACUGUGCUGACAGUGUAUGUGGUCCAGAGGGGGGUGAGGCUUAUCAGCGGCAGAAGACUUGUGUUUCACAAAUAGCCAUAAAAAGGAUCAGCCCCACCUUCCAAAGCCUGAAACAACUGAGUGCCUCCAUGCCAAGGGCUAGCCCUGCUCAGCUACACUCCUAAGAGAACUGACAUCAGCCUUGUUGGCCUCAGGCCUAUCACAACUGUACGCCCCUGAGACUAGCAACCAGCUACACUGGGUACCAACCCAAUUAAGAGGACAAUUGCAAUAAGAGUGUGCUAAUAGGCGGGACCAAGAUGGCAGAGUGAGUGGUCUUCUUUGUCUCUCCCCCGUCCAAUCUACAACUAAUUGGACAUUCACCAAUUAACAAAGGAUAUCCAGAUAGCAUCUCAAGACACCUAAAAGUCUCAUACUACUAUACAUCAGAAGGCAGACGGACUUCCCCCCGGGAGGAGGUGGAAAUAGGUGAAAACUCUCCAACCCCUGACCCCUGACCCCCAGACAGCCUAGUUCCUGCAGGAGGCUCUCUUCCAGCGGACUCCCCCAUAGCAUCGCCACAUACCAAGUGCGGGAGUGUACACUCACCAGCAGAGCGACGGUGGAAAUAGCAGUGUGUUGGAACUACUCUACUGGAGUCCUGGACUUUCACAAAGGCUCUCUCGGCUGUUGGUGAUUGUCAAAUUUCACGUUCUCCAGGGAUUCCCAGACCACGUUGACAGGGCCUGAAACCAGUUCAUGGGUCACUGCAGGGUUGACAGCCAGGACCAAGAAAAAGAAAUACUCAAGUACAUUAUAAUGGCUCAUUAUUUUUAAAGUGAAAACUUUAUUCUACACCAACUGAAGAUGUGUUUCUGCCUUAGAAGAGAGGCUUAGUACAAGACUGAGAGGCAACAACUUAAAAAAGAAAAAAAGAAUCUAAAUCCAAAAAGGCUCACUGUUCUGGCUCAGAUACCAUGGCAAGUGGGAUUCAUCAAAUGACUGAAGAGGAAAAAGAGCAGACUACCUCAGAACAGUGACCUAUCAAGUCUGGCUCUGUGGAAAGCUCACAUCCUCACUGUGUCAGCAAGAUGAAGAGAGCAGGAGGAGGCGCCGAACACUUACUAGGUUGCAAGAGGGACAACAGAGCCCUAUCAUUUUUAUAAUGGCAAUUGUCACUCUAAAUAUAACCUUGAUGCUAUGACUCAGAAUGUUUGUCAUCUAAUCACAAGCAAAGUUAGCCACCACUUGUAAGGAAAAGCUC